rnacentral:lncRNA from 1 species
UGCACUGAGAGAGCUCUUGAUUGGGGCCCGGGUGGUGGUCCUGAUUUGAUUGUUGAUGAUGGUGGUGAUGCUACUCUCUUGAUUCACGAGGGUGUGAAAGCUGAGGAGAUUUAUGAGAAGACUGGUGUUUUGCCAGAUCCAGCUUCGACUGAUAAUGUAGAGUUUCAGCUUGUUUUGACAAUUAUUAGAGAUGGGUUGAAGAGUGAUCCCAUGAAGUAUCACAAGAUGAAGGAAAGAUUGGUUGGUGUUUCAGAGGAAACCACAACUGGUGUUAAGAGAUUGUAUCAAAUGCAGGCUAAUGGGACUUUGCUUUUCCCUGCCAUUAAUGUUAACGACUCUGUGACCAAGAGCAAGGUACUGUUUUUUCUGCCUUUUAGAUCUGGGUUUUUGUUGCUUAGAUCUGUUAUGUCUUUUGUGUUUUAUGUUUCAGAUCUCAUAUGAUUCAUAUUGGUGUUUUCAAAAUGAUAAUUGAGUUUUAGAUCUGAUAUUUACUUGAUUUUUUUAGUUUGAUUCAAUUGUGGUGUGGAUUUUUCUAAGGAAAUUUUUUAGAGGUUUGUGGCGAAAGAAUCCUUUGAAGAUCUAAUAUUUUGUCUUCUUGAAGAAGCAAAAAUGACAGUUUUGGAAUGUUUGUGUGAUUCUAACUCCAUUGGAACUAAAGGCACUGUUAAUCAGUCGAUUUGACUAUUAGUGCUCAGCUGUUUGUGUCAUGCAGUAUGAAGUUUCUAGAUGAAUAUUAUGAGUUCAUUUUAUUUUUUUGUAAGAAUCAGCUGUUGAUGGCAUGAUUGCAGAAUUGGUUAAUCGGGCUUUCCAUGAUUUCAUUUCCUGUUUUGGUCAAACAGUUUCUCAUAAUCUUUGUGGAUGCAGUUUGAUAACUUGUAUGGAUGCCGUCACUCUCUCCCUGAUGGUUUGAUGAGAGCUACUGAUGUCAUGAUUGCCGGAAAGGUUGCUGUGGUCUGUGGUUAUGGUGAUGUUGGCAAGGGCUGUGCAGCUGCCAUGAAGCAAGCUGGAGCUCGUGUGAUCGUGACUGAGAUUGAUCCCAUUUGCGCUCUUCAGGCUCUCAUGGAGGGUCUCCAGGUCUUGACCCUUGAAGAUGUUGUCUCCGAGGCUGAUAUCUUUGUGACCACCACCGGUAACAAGGACAUCAUCAUGGUUGACCACAUGAGGAAGAUGAAGAACAAUGCCAUUGUCUGCAACAUUGGUCACUUCGAUAAUGAAAUCGACAUGCACGGACUUGAGACCUUCCCUGGUGUGAAACGCAUCACCAUCAAGCCCCAAACUGAUAGGUGGGUUUUCCCUGAUACCAAAUCGGGCAUCCUUGUCCUGGCCGAGGGACGUCUCAUGAACCUGGGUUGUGCCACUGGUCACCCCAGUUUUGUGAUGUCCUGCUCAUUCACCAACCAGGUGAUUGCUCAGCUUGAGCUGUGGAACGAGAAGACAUCCGGCAAGUAUGAGAAGAAGGUCUAUGUUUUGCCCAAGCACCUUGAUGAGAAGGUUGCUUCCCUUCACCUUGGCAAGCUUGGAGCCAGGCUCACCAAGCUCUCCAAGGACCAGGCAGACUACAUCAACGUUCCAGUUGAGGGUCCCUACAAGCCUGCUCAGUACAGGUACUGAGAGAUGGAAUUUGAGGAAAGACCAUCUGUUUGGACGGCGCUAUUGUUUCUUUUGUAUCUUGCUGAUGAUUUGUCUUAGAAUAUCAG